GCCAUAACUCUUUUUUUUUUUAUUUCUUUCUUAAUUUAAAAAAAUCAUUUUAUAAUGAAAAAUCAUAAUUUAGGAAGAACUACUUAUCAACUCUUUUCUUUCUUUCUUGUGAUUAUGACAAAGCAUAUGAUUAACGCCUAGUUCUAUAAAAUAAUGCCUCUUACUCACUUCCUGCCUCACUAGUGCAAAGCCAGCAGACAAGAUUUAAGUAAUACUCCAAAUUUAUAGAACUAAGACUACUUUUCUAUUUUGCAUUGAGGUUCCAACUUCUGAUUGCAAUUUGGAGGUAGGGAAAAAAAAACUUCAUAUGACUAAACAAAGGUCCAACUACAAUGAAAAUUAAAAAAUAUAUUUUUUAAUCAUUAUAUUCAAAGAUGGUGCUUUUCAAAGCUGCAUUUACUACAACAAUGCCAAAUAGCUCCUGCAUAAGAAAUCUACUCAUUUUUCGAUCACCGACUUAAAAAUUAUCUAAAACAGAGAUCACUGAGAACUAUGCAAAUUCUUAACAAAUUUCAUUCAAAUAAAUAACUAUGAAUUCCGAAUCGCAUUGACUCCACAAUAACUAAUACCAAUCACACGAUAUUACACACAAUUACAAUACCUUGGAAGGGUCAUUAGCAGUC
rnacentral:misc_RNA from 1 species